ensembl:snRNA U6 U6 spliceosomal RNA
GUGCUUGCUUCGGCAGCAUACAUACUAAAAUCAGAACGAUACGGAGAAGAUUAGCACGGCCCCUGUGCAAGGAUGAUGUGCAAAUUCAUGAAGCAUUCUAUAUUUUU